rnacentral:lncRNA from 1 species
ACAACCUAAACUGCUAAUCUUCGAUACCGCUUUAUACUCACGAUCUUGUAUCCACUGACUGUCUUGUUAGAUUAAUCCAAUAAAUUUCAUUCACUCCGCAUACUCAAUCCUAUAGACACUCUUUUAACUCUUCAUCACAGACGUAACUUGAUUUCACAAAACAGUCAAGAGUAAUCAAACCCACUUCAUUAAAAUCCCGAUUCACCAUUACAACACUGACUUCAGCAACGAUUGCCUCAGUCUUCCCAAAACCCUAUGAAGAAAAAAAUCCAAUUCUCUGUCUUUUUUCUCUACCCGAAGCAUGAAGCUAGCUCUCUGAUUCUUCAAAAAAACUCUCCAAAAACUUAUUCUCUCUCCCUC